CAUCAAAUCUCCACAACUGCAUCAGCGAGUAAAAGAUAUUGUGAAUUCCACUAAGCACCUUCAAAACAGAUUUGGUAGCCUUUUAGGCACAGUGGGAAGCAUGCAUGAAACACCUACUGCCAAGCACCUACAGCAGUGAAAUGCUUCAACAUCUUUAAUCAUGACUCCUGGCCAACUGAGAAAGAGAAACUCUUGGACUACGGUGCAGAAGAGCUUGAUUUUCUGCUAAAGCAUUUCUCUCCUGUCCUAGAAAGGAAUGGAUGUGAACAAGAUCUAGCUAAAGAGGAGUUUCAGGCACUGAAAACAAUGAU